AGAAAUUUAGGUUAAUAAGACCAAGAGCCUUCAAAGCCCUUAGUAAGUAAUUGUACUUAAUUUCUG
rnacentral:tRNA from 2 species